AUUGAACGCUAGCGGCAUGCCUAACACAUGCAAGUCGAACGAGUGGCGGACGGGUGAGUAAUGUCUGGGAACCUGCCCGAUGGCGGGGGAUAACUACUGGAAACAGUGGCUAAUACCGCAUACCAUCGGAUGUGCCCAGAUGGGAUUAGCUAGUAGGUGGGGUAAAGGCUCACCUAGGCGACGAUCCCUAGCUGGUCUGAGAGGAUGACCAGCCACACUGGAACUGAGACACGGUCCAGACUCCUACGGGAGGCAGCAGUGGGGAAUAUUGCACAAUGGGCGAAAUCCUGAUCCAGCCAUGCCGCGUGUAUGAAGAAGGCCUUCGGGUUGUAAAGUACUUUUAGCGGGGAGGCGGUAUCCGCAGAAGAAGCACCGGCUAACUACGUGCCAGCAGCCGCGGUAAUAC
rnacentral:rRNA from 1 species